rnacentral:rRNA from 1 species
GACGAACGCUGGCGGCGUGCCUAAUACAUGCAAGUUGAGCGCUGAAGGUUGGUACUUGUACCAACUGGAUGAGCAGCGAACGGGUGAGUAACACGUGGGGAAUCUGCCUUUGAGCGGGGGACAACAUUUGGAAACGAAUGCUAAUACCGCAUAAAAACUUUAAACACAAGUUUUAAGUUUGAAAGAUGCAAUUGCAUCACUCAAAGAUGAUCCCGCGUUGUAUUAGCUAGUCGGUGAGGUAAAGGCUCACCAAGGCGAUGAUACAUAGCCGACCUGAGAGGGUGAUCGGCCACAUUGGGACUGAGACACGGCCCAAACUCCUACGGGAGGCAGCAGUAGGGAAUCUUCGGCAAUGGACGAAAGUCUGACCGAGCAACGCCGCGUGAGUGAAGAAGGUUUUCGGAUCGUAAAACUCUGUUGGUAGAGAAGAACGUUGGUGAGAGUGGAAAGCUCAUCAAGUGACGGUAACUACCCAGAAAGGGACGGCUAACUACGUG